GCCUGUUCCUGCUUCGACAGGGCCUGAGCUGGAACACCGUCGAAAAGAAUCAGAACCUAACCUUGGCGAUGAACUGAAUGUAUCGAAUGGCGAUAGCAUCCUCUCUGCUUUAACGCCCUUCUCUCGAUCAGACAACUCCUCCUGACUGCAGCAGCUUUCUGACACCACAUUCCCGUCAUUCUCAUUGCAGACAAGUUUCAGAGCCUG
rnacentral:misc_RNA from 1 species